rnacentral:rRNA from 1 species
UACGUAGGGGGCAAGCGUUGUCCGGAUUUAUUGGGCGUAAAGGGCGUGUAGGCGGCCAGGUAGGUCCGUUGUGAAAACUCGAGGCUCAACCUCGAGACGUCGGCGGAAACCCUCUGGCUAGAGUCCGGAAGAGGAGAGUGGAAUUCCUGGUGUAGCGGUGAAAUGCGCAGAUAUCAGGAAGAACACCCGUGGCGAAGGCGGCUCUCUGGGACGGUACUGACGCUGAGACGCGAAAGCGUGGGGAGCAAACAGG